rnacentral:rRNA from 1 species
UAGGGAAUCUUCGGCAAUGGACGAAAGUCUGACCGAGCAACGCCGCGUGAGUGAAGAAGGUUUUCGGAUCGUAAAACUCUGUUGUUAGAGAAGAACAAGGACGUUAGUAACUGAACGUCCCCUGACGGUAUCUAACCAGAAAGCCACGGCUAACUACGUGCCAGCAGCCGCGGUAAUACGUAGGUGGCAAGCGUUGUCCGGAUUUAUUGGGCGUAAAGCGAGCGCAGGCGGUUUCUUAAGUCUGAUGUGAAAGCCCCCGGCUCAACCGGGGAGGGUCAUUGGAAACUGGGAGACUUGAGUGCAGAAGAGGAGAGUGGAAUUCCAUGUGUAGCGGUGGAAUGCGUAGAUAUAUGGAGGAACACCAGUGGCGAAGGCGGCUCUCUGGUCUGUAACUGACGCUGAGGAUCGAAAGCGUGGGGAGCAAACAGG